rnacentral:lncRNA from 1 species
ACCAGAUAGAAAAAGCUGGGAGCAAAACGACCUAACAAGGGGCAGAAACAUCAAGGGGCAUGACAAUGCCACAAGACCUGAGACAGAAUUUCCAGAGUGACUUUACAUUCUGAAGAUCCACCCAGGCUCAGGGGACUCCUCAGCUCUACUUAUGGUUUUUGUACUGAAAAGCCAAAAGUGUUCCUAGACCAUUUUUCUUUGUGAUUUGACAUCACCUCCUUCGAGACAAUGAGGAUACCCUGGCAGAUAUCUGCUAGAGUUGAGAGCAAGAGGAAAACACAGAUGCAGAGGGAAGAAGCAUGCAUGGGUUAAUAUGUCAAAAAUACCACAUUUCCAUGCACAGCUGUGUCAGGCUUUCCCAGGGAGGAAACAUGGCCAGCUGGGACACUGUAUCAUUGCCUCACUAGGAGUCCAUAUUUCCAAGCCAUGGGAAUAUUCUAUCAGAGAGACGUGAGAGAGUGAACAGACCACGAGGGAUGCAUAUGCUGCUGUUCCUAGACCACAUGCCAACCCAGCCGAAUGGCAGAGACUUGGAGCAGAGAUGUAGAGAAUGUUGGAAUAUCCCAUAACAUUCAACGCCAUGAAAGGAAGAGACGCCAGGAUGGACUGGGAUGGAAAAAUCCACUGGCCACAGAAGUAAUGGAACCACAGGGCUGGGGGAGAACUUGAGUGCACCUAUCAAAAUGGGGCUCAUUUCAGAGCUGACAAAAGGCUGAGAGAAUCUUGAGAGGAAGAGAAGGGGGAGGAGGAAGAGGAGAGGACGGGUGAUAGGGGCCAGCAGUACGCAGAGAACCACGAAAGCAGGGCUGGGACUUCAGUGGCUGGGGCUAAUGGAAAACAGCUAAAAGGUGAAGGACAGCAGCGAGGGCGGCUCCCAGGAAGCGUGUGCCCUGCCGACUGAAUGGCUCACAUUCAAUGGUAAGGUUGGCACUGCAGCGGCUCCCUGCUUUACAACAAGGGACUCAGUACAGAAGAAAGUCACUGGGAAUGCGGAGAGAAGAGAAAGACCAUACAUCCAUCCCACCCUAGACCCUGUUUUUGGAAAGAAAACCUUUCCUUAUCCUUUUUCUGGAUGGUAGUAGCCAAUCUUAUCCAAAAUAAACGAAUGAAGAAUCAAGCAGGAUGAGCUGCCUUCUCGGUGCCUGAGCAGGCAGGCAGCAACAAGAACUUCAUUUAAUAAGCUCAAGGUUUGUAGUUAGUAUGUGAACUACCUAGAGAUGGUUUUCAAUUGUUUAGAGUAUUUUAUUACUGUAAGUAGGUAGAUAUUCUACCACAUUUACACUAUUAACAGAGCCCCUUUCUUUGGAGAGAAUAAAAGUAAAUGUUAGUUAAUGCUUCC